CUUGUCUAGCGUCAAACCAUAAAUCCUCCCCCCAGGUCAUAGUGCUCGUCCAUUGCCCGACGGAGUGGGACCGGACGCCAGUAGGAAUGAAUACACACAGAACAGGCCACUGCUAGGCCAAACACACCAAGUUCCUUCAACUGAUCUGCAAAGGAUUCUGAUUAUUGUCCUAAUCCCUAACUAUCUUUGCUGCCGUCCUCUGAACCUAUUUCAAUCUGUCUACAUUCUUUUUAAAGUGUGAUACCCAGAACUGAACACAGUACAACAGACGAGGUCAGACCAGUGCAGAAUAAAGUAGAAUGAUUACUGGAAAUGAUGGUUCCAGUAGUGCAACCUAAUAUCAUAUUAGCCUUUUUUGCAGCUGGCUCACAUACUGCUGGCUCAAAUUCAUGCUUUUGAUUGACUGAAAUCCUGAGAUCCUUUUCAUAUGUAUUACAACCAAUCAGAGAUCUCCCAUUCUAUACCUAUGUGUUUGGGCUGUUGUUGUUUUUAACCAAAGUGCAGAACUUAGUUGUGAACCACCUUGAGACCUAGUUAUAGGAAGUAUUAAAAAGAGUUAAAUAAAUAUUUUGUGUGGGGGUGGUA